AUUGAACGCUGGCGGCAUGCCUUACACAUGCAAGUCGAACGGCAGCACGGGUGCUUGCACCUGGUGGCGAGUGGCGAACGGGUGAGUAAUACAUCGGAACGUACCUUAUCGUGGGGGAUAACGCAGCGAAAGUUGCGCUAAUACCGCAUACGCCCUGAGGGGGAAAGCGGGGGACCGUAAGGCCUCGCGCGAUUAGAGCGGCCGAUGUCUGAUUAGCUUGUUGGUGAGGUAAAAGCUCACCAAGGCGAUGAUCAGUAGCUGGUCUGAGAGGACGAUCAGCCACACUGGGACUGGGACACGGCCCAGACUCCUACGGGAGGCAGCAGUGGGGAAUUUUUGACAAUGGGGGCAACCCUGAUCCAGCAAUGCCGCGUGAGUGAAGAAGGCCUUCGGGUUGUAAAGCUCGUUUGUCAGGGAAGAAACAGCAGCUCUAACACAGUCUGCGAAUGACGGUACCUGAAGAAUAAGCACCGGCUAACUACGUGCCAGCCGCCGCCGUAA
rnacentral:rRNA from 1 species